GACGAACGCUGGCGGCGUGCUUAACACAUGCGAGUCGAACGGAAAGGCCCUGCUUUUGUGGGGUGCUCGAGUGGCGAACGGGUGAGUAACACGUGAGUAACCUGCCCUUGACUUUGGGAUAACUUCAGGAAACUGGGGCUAAUACCGGAUAGGAGCUCCUGCUGCAUGGUGGGGGUUGGAAAGUUUCGGCGGUUGGGGAUGGACUCGCGGCUUAUCAGCUUGUUGGUGGGGUAGUGGCUUACCAAGGCUUUGACGGGUAGCCGGCCUAAGAGGGUGACCGGCCACAUUGGGACUGAGAUACGGCCCAGACUCCUACGGGAGGCAGCAGUGGGGAAUAUUGCACAAUGGGCGGAAGCCUGAUGCAGCAACGCCGCGUGCGGGAUGACGGCCUUCGGGUUGUAAACCGCUUUCGCCUGUGACGAAGCGUGAGUGACGGUAAUGGGUAAAGAAGCACCGGCUAACUACGUG
rnacentral:rRNA from 1 species